UUUGUUUUUUAAUUAAAAACUAGAAUGAAAGGUUAUACAUUUAAAUUUCUUUAUUAAUUUCUUAUAUAUAAUUUAUAUUAAAUAUAAAAAUAUAUUUUUUAAAUAAAAAGACGAUAAGACCCUAUUAAAUUUUACUUAUAGUUUAACUGGGGAAGUUUUAAAAAUAAAAUUUUUUAUAAAAAUAAAAAUAAAUCUAAUAAAAUUAAAAUUAAAUUAAAUUACUAUAGGGAUAACAGCAUUAUAUUUUUUAAAAGUUCAUAUUAAAAAAAAUGAUUGUGACCUCGAUGUUGAAUUAUAUUUUCUUUAUUAAUGCAAUAAUUAUAAAAGUAGAUCUGUUCGAUCUUUAAAAUAUUACAUGAUUUGAGUUCAAACCGGUGUAAACCAGGUUGGUUUCUAUCUUUUUAUAAAUUCAUAUAUAUAUAUAUAUAUAUACAUAAAUUUUUCAAGUACGAAAGGAAAAAAAAAUUUUUAUUUUAAUUAAUUAGCAAUUAAUAUGCAUUAGAUUUAGAAUCUAAAUAAACUAUUAUU
rnacentral:misc_RNA from 1 species